GGGUUGUGAGGUUAAGCGACUAAGCGUACACGGUGGAUGCCCUGGCAGUCAGAGGCGAUGAAGGACGUGCUAAUCUGCGAUAAGCGUCGGUAAGGUGAUAUGAACCGUUAUAACCGGCGAUUUCCGAAUGGGGAAACCCAGUGUGUUUCGACACACUAUCAUUAACUGAAUCCAUAGGUUAAUGAGGCGAACCGGGGGAACUGAAACAUCUAAGUACCCCGAGGAAAAGAAAUCAACCGAGAUUCCCCCAGUAGCGGCGAGCGAACGGGGAGCAGCCCAGAGCCUGAAUCAGUGUGUGUGUUAGUGGAAGCGUCUGGAAAGGCGCGCGAUACAGGGUGACAGCCCCGUACACAAAAAUGCACAUACUGUGAGCUCGAUGAGUAGGGCGGGACACGUGGUAUCCUGUCUGAAUAUGGGGGGACCAUCCUCCAAGGCUAAAUACUCCUGACUGACCGAUAGUGAACCAGUACCGUGAGGGAAAGGCGAAAAGAACCCCGGCGAGGGGAGUGAAAAAGAACCUGAAACCGUGUACGUACAAGCAGUGGGAGCCUCUUUUAUGGGGUGACUGCGUACCUUUUGUAUAAUGGGUCAGCGACUUAUAUUCUGUAGCAAGGUUAACCGAAUAGGGGAGCCGAAGGGAAACCGAGUCUUAACUGGGCGUUAAGUUGCAGGGUAUAGACCCGAAACCCGGUGAUCUAGCCAUGGGCAGGUUGAAGGUUGGGUAACACUAACUGGAGGACCGAACCGACUAAUGUUGAAAAAUUAGCGGAUGACUUGUGGCUGGGGGUGAAAGGCCAAUCAAACCGGGAGAUAGCUGGUUCUCCCCGAAAGCUAUUUAGGUAGCGCCUCGUGAAUUCAUCUCCGGGGGUAGAGCACUGUUUCGGCAAGGGGGUCAUCCCGACUUACCAACCCGAUGCAAACUGCGAAUACCGGAGAAUGUUAUCACGGGAGACACACGGCGGGUGCUAACGUCCGUCGUGAAGAGGGAAACAACCCAGACCGCCAGCUAAGGUCCCAAAGUCAUGGUUAAGUGGGAAACGAUGUGGGAAGGCCCAGACAGCCAGGAUGUUGGCUUAGAAGCAGCCAUCAUUUAAAGAAAGCGUAAUAGCUCACUGGUCGAGUCGGCCUGCGCGGAAGAUGUAACGGGGCUAAACCAUGCACCGAAGCUGCGGCAGCGACACUGUGUGUUGUUGGGUAGGGGAGCGUUCUGUAAGCCUGUGAAGGUGUACUGUGAGGUAUGCUGGAGGUAUCAGAAGUGCGAAUGCUGACAUAAGUAACGAUAAAGCGGGUGAAAAGCCCGCUCGCCGGAAGACCAAGGGUUCCUGUCCAACGUUAAUCGGGGCAGGGUGAGUCGACCCCUAAGGCGAGGCCGAAAGGCGUAGUCGAUGGGAAACAGGUUAAUAUUCCUGUACUUGGUGUUACUGCGAAGGGGGGACGGAGAAGGCUAUGUUGGCCGGGCGACGGUUGUCCCGGUUUAAGCGUGUAGGCUGGUUUUCCAGGCAAAUCCGGAAAAUCAAGGCUGAGGCGUGAUGACGAGGCACUACGGUGCUGAAGCAACAAAUGCCCUGCUUCCAGGAAAAGCCUCUAAGCAUCAGGUAACAUCAAAUCGUACCCCAAACCGACACAGGUGGUCAGGUAGAGAAUACCAAGGCGCUUGAGAGAACUCGGGUGAAGGAACUAGGCAAAAUGGUGCCGUAACUUCGGGAGAAGGCACGCUGAUAUGUAGGUGAAGCGACUUGCUCGUGGAGCUGAAAUCAGUCGAAGAUACCAGCUGGCUGCAACUGUUUAUUAAAAACACAGCACUGUGCAAACACGAAAGUGGACGUAUACGGUGUGACGCCUGCCCGGUGCCGGAAGGUUAAUUGAUGGGGUUAGCGCAAGCGAAGCUCUUGAUCGAAGCCCCGGUAAACGGCGGCCGUAACUAUAACGGUCCUAAGGUAGCGAAAUUCCUUGUCGGGUAAGUUCCGACCUGCACGAAUGGCGUAAUGAUGGCCAGGCUGUCUCCACCCGAGACUCAGUGAAAUUGAACUCGCUGUGAAGAUGCAGUGUACCCGCGGCAAGACGGAAAGACCCCGUGAACCUUUACUAUAGCUUGACACUGAACAUUGAGCCUUGAUGUGUAGGAUAGGUGGGAGGCUUUGAAGUGUGGACGCCAGUCUGCAUGGAGCCGACCUUGAAAUACCACCCUUUAAUGUUUGAUGUUCUAACGUUGACCCGUGAUCCGGGUUGCGGACAGUGUCUGGUGGGUAGUUUGACUGGGGCGGUCUCCUCCUAAAGAGUAACGGAGGAGCACGAAGGUUGGCUAAUCCUGGUCGGACAUCAGGAGGUUAGUGCAAUGGCAUAAGCCAGCUUGACUGCGAGCGUGACGGCGCGAGCAGGUGCGAAAGCAGGUCAUAGUGAUCCGGUGGUUCUGAAUGGAAGGGCCAUCGCUCAACGGAUAAAAGGUACUCCGGGGAUAACAGGCUGAUACCGCCCAAGAGUUCAUAUCGACGGCGGUGUUUGGCACCUCGAUGUCGGCUCAUCACAUCCUGGGGCUGAAGUAGGUCCCAAGGGUAUGGCUGUUCGCCAUUUAAAGUGGUACGCGAGCUGGGUUUAGAACGUCGUGAGACAGUUCGGUCCCUAUCUGCCGUGGGCGCUGGAGAACUGAGGGGGGCUGCUCCUAGUACGAGAGGACCGGAGUGGACGCAUCACUGGUGUUCGGGUUGUCAUGCCAAUGGCACUGCCCGGUAGCUAAAUGCGGAAGAGAUAAGUGCUGAAAGCAUCUAAGCACGAAACUUGCCCCGAGAUGAGUUCUCCCUGACUCCUUGAGAGUCCUGAAGGAACGUUGAAGACGACGACGUUGAUAGGCCGGGUGUGUAAGCGCAGCGAUGCGUUGAGCUAACCGGUACUAAUGAACCGUGAGGCUUAACCUUACAACGCCGAAG
rnacentral:rRNA from 1 species